GCUGGGAUGGCUCCGUCGGUAGAGCAUGAGGCUCUUGAUCUCAGGAUCGUGAGUUCAAGCCCCACAUUGUGCA